GUCCUCCUGGUGUAGUUGGUUAUCACAUCUGUCUAACACACAGAAGGUCUCCAAUUCGAAUCUGGUGGAAGACA
rnacentral:tRNA from 1 species